GACGAACGCUGGCGGCAUGCUUAACACAUGCAAGUCGAACGGAAAGUCCCUGCCUUUUUGCGGUGCUCGAGUGGCGAACGGGUAAGUAACACGUGAGUAACCUGCACUUGACUUUGGGAUAACUUCAGAACACUGGGGCUAUUCCCGCCUAGGAGCUCCUGCUGCAUGGUGGGGGUUGGAAAGUUUCGGCGGUUGGGGAUGGACUCGCGGCUUAUCAGCUUGUUGCUGGGGUAGUGUCUUACCAAGGCCUUGACGGGUGGCCGGCCUGAGAGGGUGACAUGCCACAUUGGGACGGGAAUACGGCCCGGACUCGUACGGGAGGCAGCAGUGGGGAAUAUUGCACAAUGGGCGGAAGCCUGAUGCAGCAACGCCGCGUGCGGGAUGACGGGAAGCGGGUUGUAAACCUCUUCCGCUUGUGACGAAGCGUGAGUGACAGUAAUGGGUAAAGAAGCACCGGCUAACUACGUG
rnacentral:rRNA from 1 species